GAAAUGCGAUAAGUAAUGUGAAUUGCAGAAUUCAGUGAAUCAUCGAAUCUUUGAACGCACCUUGCGCUCCUUGGUAUUCCUUGGAGCAUGCCUGUUUGAGUAUCAUGAAAUCUUCAAAGUAAAUCUUUUGUUAACUCAAUUGGUUUCUACUUUGGUAUUGGAGGUCUUUGCAGCUUCACACCUGCUCCUCUUUGUUCAUUAGCUGGAUCUCAGUGUUAUGCUUGGUUCCACUCGGCGUGAUAAGUUAUCUAUCGCUGAGGACACUGUAAAAGGUGGCCAAGGUAAAUGCAGAUGAACCGCUUCUAAUAGUCCAUUGACUUGGACAAUACUUUUAUGAUCUGAUCUCAAAUCAUGUAGGACUACCCGCUGAACUUAAUC
rnacentral:misc_RNA from 1 species